AGUGAACGCUGGCGGCAGGCCUAAUACAUGCAAGUCGAACGGCAGCACAGCAGAGCUUGCUCUGUGGGUGGCGAGUGGCGGACGGGUGAGGAAUACAUGGGAAUCUGCCCAGUCGUGGGGGAUAACGUAUGGAAACGUACGCUAAUACCGCAUGCGCCCUACGGGGGAAAGUCGGGGACCGGCAAGGCCUGACGCGAUUGGAUGAGCCCAUGUUCGAUUAGCUAGUUGGCGGGGUAAAGGCCUACCAAGGCGAUGAUCUAUAGCUGGUCUGAGAGGAUGACCAGCCACACUGGAACUGAGAUACGGACCAGACUCCUACGGGAGGCAGCAGUGGGGAAUAUUGGACAAUGGGCGCAAGCCUGAUCCAGCCAUGCCGCGUGCG
rnacentral:rRNA from 1 species